UAUUUUCAUAGUUUAAUUUAAAAACAUUACGUUGAAAAUGUAAAAAUAUUUUUUUUUGAAAAUAU
rnacentral:tRNA from 1 species